rnacentral:rRNA from 1 species
AUGGCUGUCGUCAGCUCGUGUCGUGAGAUGUUGGGUUAAGUCCCGCAACGAGCGCAACCCUCGCCCUUAGUUGCCAGCAUUUAGUUGGGCACUCUAGGGGGACUGCCGGUGAUAAGCCGGAGGAAGGUGGGGAUGACGUCAAGUCCUCAUGGCCCUUACGGGCUGGGCUACACACGUGCUACAAUGGCGGUGACAGUGGGCAGCGACCUCGCGAGGGGAAGCUAAUCUCCAAAAGCCGUCUCAGUUCGGAUUGUUCUCUGCAACUCGAGAGCAUGAAGUUGGAAUCGCUAGUAAUCGCGUAACAGCAUGACGCGGUGAAUACGUUCCCGGGCCUUGUACACACCGCCCGUGGGGCGGGGGCGGCGGGCCGGGCGCGGGGCGCGGCGGGCG